CCCUUAGAUGUUCUGGGCCGCACGCGCGCUACAAUGGUCUUCGCAAACGGAUGCAUUCUCGAAUGAGAAUGCCAAUCUUGGAAUCUAUGCCUUGGUCGGGACAGUUGCUUGCAAUUUUUCGACUCGAACCAGGAAUUCCUUGUAAUCGUGAUUCAUCACAUCACGAUGAAUACGUCCCUGCCCUUUGUACACACCGCCCGUCGCUCCUACCGAUCGAAGAGUUAGGUGAAUUGUUUUGAUCGAUAAGAUUUGACUAUGGUCAACUCUCGUUGUGAAAUUCUGUGAAUCUGACUGUUUAGAGGAAGGAAAAGUCGUAACA
rnacentral:rRNA from 1 species